CCUACGGGAGGCUGCAGUGGGGAAUAUUGGACAAUGGGGGCAACCCUGAUCCAGCCAUGCCGCGUGUGUGAAGAAGGCCCUCGGGUUGUAAAGCACUUUCAGUGAGGAAGAACGCCUGGUGGUUAAUACCCAUCAGGAAAGACAUCACUCACAGAAGAAGCACCGGCUAACUCCGUGCCAGCAGCCGCGGUAAUACGGAGGGUGCGAGCGUUAAUCGGAAUUACUGGGCGUAAAGCGCGCGUAGGUGGCUUGAUAAGCCGGUUAUGAAAGCCCCGGGCUCAACCUGGGAACGGCAUCCGGAACUGUCAAGCUAGAGUGCAGGAGAGGAAGGUAGAAUUCCCGGUGUAGCGGUGAAAUGCGUAGAGAUCGGGAGGAAUACCAGUGGCGAAGGCGGCCUUCUGGACUGACACUGACACUGAGGUGCGAAAGCGUGGGUAGCAAACAGGAUUAGAUACCCUUGUAGUC
rnacentral:rRNA from 1 species